rnacentral:rRNA from 1 species
GAUGAACGCUAGUGGCAGGCUUAAUACAUGCAAGUCGAGGGGUAGCAAGAUUGUAGCAAUACAAUUGUUGACGACCGGCAAACGGGUGCGGAACACGUACACAACCUUCCUACAAGUGGGGAAUAGCCCAGAGAAAUUUGGAUUAAUACCCCGUAACAUAGCGAUGUGGCAUCACAUUGCUAUUAUAGCUUCGGCGCUUGUUGAUGGGUGUGCGGCUGAUUAGAUAGUUGGCGGGGUAACGGCCCACCAAGUCUACGAUCAGUAGCUGAUGUGAGAGCAUGAUCAGCCACACGGGCACUGAGACACGGGCCCGACUCCUACGGGAGGCAGCAGUAAGGAAUAUUGGACAAUGGACGCAAGUCUGAUCCAGCCAUGCCGCGUGAAGGAUUAAGGUCCUCUGGAUUGUAAACUUCUUUUAUAAGGGACGAAAAAAGGUCUUUCUAGAUCGUCUGACGGUACCUUAUGAACAAGCACCGGCUAACUCUGUGCCAGCCGCCGCCGUAACAC